GAUGAACGCUGGCGGCGUGCCUAAUACAUGCAAGUCGAGCGAACGGACGAGAAGCUUGCUUCUCUGAUGUUAGCGGCGGACGGGUGAGUAACACGUGGAUAACCUACCUAUAAGACUGGGAUAACUUCGGGAAACCGGAGCCAAUACCGGAUGAUAUUUUGAACCGCAUGGUUCAAAAGUGAAAGACGGUCUUGCUGUCACUUAUAGAUGGAUCUGCGCUGCAUUAGCUAGUUGGUAAGGUAACGGCUUACCAAGGCAACGAUGCAUAGCCGACCUGAGAGGGUGAUCGGCCACACUGGAACUGAGACACGGUCCAGACUCCUACGGGAGGCAGCAGUAGGGAAUCUUCCGCAAUGGGCGAAAGCCUGACGGAGCAACGCCGCGUGAGUGAUGAAGGUCUUCGGAUCGUAAAACUCUGUUAUUAGGGAAGAACAUAUGUGUAAGUAACUGUGCACAUCUUGACGGUACCUAAUCAGAAAGCCACGGCUAACUACGUG
rnacentral:rRNA from 1 species